CUUAUGCUCCCAAUACUUCUGUUAGUCUUAAAGGUGCCACAGGACCCUCUGUUAGAUUCAGACUAACACGGCUAUCCCUCUGAUACUUGAUUACCACUGAGUCAAUGAGCAUUAGACACUUAACUGCUGUUUAUGAAUCUAGAAAUCUCCCCCAAAGCCACUAGGGACAGUAAAUGGGACUUGUGCUCCAAAGUCAGUAAUGGUAUGUCAACACUGCAGUGUAAGCCCAGGCUCAGGCUCAAGCCCAGCCCCCCUCCCCCUUUCCAUCUACACACAGAGCUAUCUGAUUCAGGCCAGCAAACCCUCGGGACCCAGACCCUAGGACCUGGCAAGUGGGAGUGGGUCUAAGCCCAAGUUCCACUGGGACUUGGGUCCACAGUGCACUCCCAUUUUGCAGUGUGGACACAGUUUGGGCCCAGGUCCCUCUGACUCAAGUGCUGAUGCUCCACCAACACUAUCCUCAGUCCAAUGGGCCAAUGUUCCUAUCAUUUCUAUCCCAACACUAGCCAAUCAAUUCACAGGAAAUGGAAACAACCUCUUGGUUCUCGUACAGCUAUUUGAUGUUUAACCUUCCAUUCUAUUCUGACUGCUGAGCUGCAAACAGAGUGAACCAUCUCCUGCGUUAGCUAUGGCCACCAACGGGAAGAAGUCCUUUGCCAAACAUGUUGCUACCUGGUCAUGGCACCAUAGUCAGAUUCUGGUAAAUCUCUGGUGGGAGGUGAGCAAGAUGUUUGACUUCAGUAAAAGUACCAGAAAUGAACAUGUGUACUAAGAAAUAACAGACACGCUGACAGUGUUGGGGAUUCACAGGCUGGUGAGCAGUGCAAGGAGCAGAUGAAGUGGCUCAAGAGCAACCACUGGAAAGCCAGGGAUGAGAACUGCAUUUCUGGGAAACCCCACCCCCACCCAUCAUCUUGCCUCUUUUACAAGAACUUUGAUUGGGUGAUGGGUACUGUGCCAAGCACUGAGCCCCCAACUGUUCACAAUAGCCUGGUCAGCCGGGAUGGUCACCUUCUGACAGCCAAAUCUAGUGUAGUACUAGAGGGGAACCAACACGCACCAGAUCAGGCUAGCAAAGUCCUCAAGGAGGAUUUGCUGCUGGAGCAGCUGCAGCACAUUGUGGGUCCAUAGUCAGAGGAAUUGUGUGAUGACCCCCCAGAGGAGCAGCCAGCCAUAGAGCUUGCAGAAGAGGCAGAAGUAGCCCCAGUGCCUGGCCCUUUCACCUCUGCAGCCCAGUUACAGUGCAGCAGAAGUUUGAUUUCAAACUGUCAGGGAGUGGUCAAAGAGGAAGUGUUUCCCUGAUGAACUUACGGUGGACAUCCUGGACAGGGCCAACAAGCAG